rnacentral:rRNA from 1 species
AGUUUGAUCCUGGCUCAGAUUGAACGCUUUCGGCAUGCCUUACACAUGCAAGUCGAACGGCAGCACGGAGCUUGCUCUGGUGGCGAGUGGCGAACGGGUGAGUAAUAUAUCGGAACGUACCCUGGAGUGGGGGAUAACGUAGCGAAAGUUACGCUAAUACCGCAUACGAUCUACGGAUGAAAGUGGGGGAUGCGCAAGCACCUCAUGCUCGUGGAGCGGCCGAUAUCUGAUUAGCUAGUUGGUAGGGUAAAAGCCUACCAAGGCAUCGAUCAGUAGCUGGUCUGAGAGGACGACCAGCCACACUGGAACUGAGACACGGUCCAGACUCCUACGGGAGGCAGCAGUGGGGAAUUUUGGACAAUGGGCGCAAGCCUGAUCCAGCAAUGCCGCGUGAGUGAAGAAGGCCUUCGGGUUGUAAAGCUCUUUUGUCAGGGAAGAAACGGUGGAGGCUAAUAUCCUCUGCUAAUGACGGUACCUGAAGAAUAAGCACCGGCUAACUACGUGCCAGCAGCCGCGGUAAUACGUAGGGUGCAAGCGUUAAUCGGAAUUACUGGGCGUAAAGCGUGCGCAGGCGGUUUUGUAAGUCUGAUGUGAAAUCCCCGGGCUCAACCUGGGAAUUGCAUUGGAGACUGCAAGGCUAGAAUCUGGCAGAGGGGGGUAGAAUUCCACGUGUAGCAGUGAAAUGCGUAGAUAUGUGGAGGAACACCGAUGGCGAAGGCAGCCCCCUGGGUCAAGAUUGACGCUCAUGCACGAAAGCGUGGGGAGCAAAAAGGAUUAGAUACCCUGGUAGUCCACGCCCUA